UUUAUCUUAAUAAUUAUUUAUUUCCUUGACACAGUUUUCUUUCCUUAUAUUUAUUAGCGUCUAUUGAUUUCCUUGCCUCUGCUAUCCCAUAAUCAAUUCUUGCCUUAAUGCUUCCUGGCAACUUAUUUAUUCUGGCAAAAAGUAUUAAAAGAGUGACUUCAUUGUGUUGGAAAAGACUCUUUUAUUUUGCCCUUAAAGAAAGAAGAUAUAAUUUAUUUCACCAGUACCAACUGAGGUGUCUUACUCAGUUCUACAGAUUUUAUUCUGAAUUA
rnacentral:lncRNA from 1 species